ACGUAGGGUGCGAGCGUUAAUCGGAAUUACUGGGCGUAAAGCGUGCGCAGGCGGUUUUGUAAGCCAGAUGUGAAAUCCCCGGGCUUAACCUGGGAAUGGCAUUUGUGACUGCAUAGCUAGAGUACGGCAGAGGGGGAUGGAAUUCCGCGUGUAGCAGUGAAAUGCGUAGAGAUCGGGAGGAACAUCUGUGGCGAAGGCGACUACCUGGACCAGCACUGACACUGAGGCACGAAAGCGUGGGGAGCAAACAGGA
rnacentral:rRNA from 1 species